rnacentral:rRNA from 1 species
UACAGAGGGUGCAAGCGUUGUUCGGAAUUACUGGGCGUAAAGGGCUCGUAGGCGGCCAACUAAGUCAGACGUGAAAUCCCUCAGCUUAACUGGGGAACUGCGUCUGAUACUGGAUGGCUUGGAUUCGGGAGAGGAAUGCGGAAUUCCAGGUGUAGCGGUGAAAUGCGUAGAUAUCUGGAGGAACACCGGUGGCGAAGGCGGCAUUCUGGACCGAUAUUGACGCUGAGGAGCGAAAGCCAGGGGAGCAAACAGG